CUUUUUUCUCUCUCACCUCACCGUCUCGCGUGCUCUCUCUACUUCUCUACUGCAUUCUUUUAAUUUUGCUCCUCCUCAUCGUUCUUGGCCAAUUUUCACCUCAUCUUCAUACAAAUCUCAGUGAGAAAAAGGAGGUAAGGAGCCUUGCAGCUUUGGGUGUUAUUUAUGUAGUUAAACACACAUGGCACUAGAAGAUUGAGAUUGCAAAAAGUAAGAGAUCCAUGUUCUACUAGGAUACAUAGCCUAUGAUCUACUUCUUCCAAAAGCUAUGAUCUCUUCUCUCCGAGGGCUGAAACUGUUCAAUGGGUAAUUUAAGGAGGAGGAAAGGUAGUGGAUGAUCCUGUGAAACAAAAUAUGCACUUUACAUUCUCUACACAUGUAGAUGGACAAUGAAGCCAGUCAUCAACCAAAGCUGGAAGGUUUAAGGACAAGGUGGACGCCAUCCAUCGACAAGAUAUUUACAGACUUGGUUGUUAAGUAUAUACAACUUUUGAAAGAGCAAAUUAGUUUUAGUUGUUGAGAAAAUGUAGCUACAGUGUAUGGAUUCUAAUGUGAUAUUAUAGAAUUUUUAGCCAAAACAAAGUUAUUAGCAAAACUUGAUUCUAUGGCGAAACUUGAUUCAGUGGUGAAACUUAAUUCAUUCA